CCCUAGCCCCGAUAGCAGUGGAAAUCCUUUUGAUUUUUCCUUUAAAAAGCAAAAGAUUGCAGCGGAUAGCGGGAUAAAGC
rfam:Flavobacterium spartansii strain MST NODE_3_length_580379_cov_49.0781, whole genome shotgun sequence.